rnacentral:rRNA from 1 species
GUCUCAGGCCGUAUCAGCCUGAAGGCGCCCGAUCUCGUCUGAUCUCGGAAGCUAAGCAGGGUCGGCCUGGUUAGAUCUUGGAUGGGAGACCACCUGGGAAUCCCGGGUGCUCGAGGCU